rnacentral:rRNA from 1 species
AGUGAACGCUGGCGGUAGGCCUAACACAUGCAAGUCGAACGGCAGCACAGGAGAGCUUGCUCUCUGGGUGGCGAGUGGCGGACGGGUGAGGAAUACAUCGGAAUCUAAUUUUUCGUGGGGGAUAACGUAGGGAAACUUACGCUAAUACCGCAUACGACCUACGGGUGAAAGCAGGGGACCUUCGGGCCUUGCGCGAUUGAAUGCGCGGAUGUCGGAUUAGCUAGUUGGCGGGGUAAAGGCCCACCAAGGCGGCGAUCCGUAGCUGGUCUGAGAGGAUGAUCAGCCACACUGGAACUGAGACACGGUCCAGACUCCUACGGGAGGCAGCAGUGGGGAAUAUUGGACAAUGGGCGCAAGCCUGAUCCAGCCAUACCGCGUGGGUGAAGAAGGCCUUCGGGUUGUAAAGCCCUUUUGUUGGGAAAGAAAUCCAGCUGGCUAAUACCCGGUUGGGAUGACGGUACCCAAAGAAUAAGCACCGGCUAACUUCGUGCCAGCCGCCGCCGUAA